AUACGGAGGGUGCAAGCGUUAUUCGGAAUCACUGGGCGUAAAGGACGCGUAGGCGGGUUGGCAAGUCAGAUGUGAAAUCCUACAGCUUAACUGUAGAACUGCAUUUGAAACUGCUAACCUAGAGUAUGGGAGGGGGAGAUGGAAUUAGUGGUGUAGGGGUAACAUCCGUAGAUAUCACUAGGAAUACCGAAAGCGAAGGCGAUCUCCUGGAACAUAACUGACGCUAAGGCGUGAAAGCGUGGGGAGCAAACAGGAUUAGAAACCCUAGUAGUCC
rnacentral:rRNA from 1 species